AACGAACGCUGGCGGCAUGCCUAACACAUGCAAGUCGAACGAGACCUUCGGGUCUAGUGGCGCACGGGUGCGUAACGCGUGGGAACCUGCCUUUAGGUUCGGAAUAACUCAGAGAAAUUUGAGCUAAUACCGGAUGAUGUCUUCGGACCAAAGAUUUAUCGCCUUUAGAUGGGCCCGCGUUGGAUUAGCUAGUUGGUGGGGUAAAGGCCUACCAAGGCGACGAUCCAUAGCUGGUCUGAGAGGAUGAUCAGCCACACUGGGACUGAGACACGGCCCAGACUCCUACGGGAGGCAGCAGUGGGGAAUAUUGGACAAUGGGCGAAAGCCUGAUCCAGCAAUGCCGCGUGAGUGAUGAAGGCCUUAGGGUUGUAAGCUCUUUACCCGAGAUGAUAAUGAC
rnacentral:rRNA from 1 species